CGGGAAGUCAGUACCAGACGUACAGAGAACGGGAAGUCAGUGCCCGACAUACAGAGAAUGGGAAGUCAGUGCUCGAUUUUGCUAGUUUUAUUAAAAACACCUAAUCUAGGCAAAAAAUAAUGGGGGUUUAGUUACAUUAAAUAAUGAUACAUUGCAUCUAAAUCAUGUCAUGGGAAUCUAAACUGUAUCAUGGGAUUCCAUGACCAGUGUAGCUAAUGUAUAGCUUGAGAUGAACCUGUUG